UGCAGUCGAGCGGACAGAAGGGAGCUUGCUCCCGGAUGUUAGCGGCGGACGGGUGAGUAACACGUGGGUAACCUGCCUGUAAGACUGGGAUAACUCCGGGAAACCGGAGCUAAUACCGGAUAGUUCCUUGAACCGCAUGGUUCAAGGAUGAAAGACGGUUUCGGCUGUCACUUACAGAUGGACCCGCGGCGCAUUAGCUAGUUGGUGAGGUAACGGCUCACCAAGGCGACGAUGCGUAGCCGACCUGAGAGGGUGAUCGGCCACACUGGGACUGAGACACGGCCCAGACUCCUACGGGAGGCAGCAGUAGGGAAUCUUCCGCAAUGGACGAAAGUCUGACGGAGCAACGCCGCGUGAGUGAUGAAGGUUUUCGGAUCGUAAAGCUCUGUUGUUAGGGAAGAACAAGUGCAAGAGUAACUGCUUGCACCUUGACGGUACCUAACCAGAAAGCCACGGCUAACUACGUGCCAGCAGCCGCGGUAAUACGUAGGUGGCAAGCGUUGUCCGGAAUUAUUGGGCGUAAAGGGCUCGCAGGCGGUUUCUUAAGUCUGAUGUGAAAGCCCCCGGCUCAACCGGGGAGGGUCAUUGGAAACUGGGAAACUUGAGUGCAGAAGAGGAGAGUGGAAUUCCACGUGUAGCGGUGAAAUGCGUAGAGAUGUGGAGGAACACCAGUGGCGAAGGCGACUCUCUGGUCUGUAACUGACGCUGAGGAGCGAAAGCGUGGGGAGCGAACAGGAUUAGAUACCCUGGUAGUCCACGCCGUAAACGAUGAGUGCUAAGUGUUAGGGGUUUCCGCCCCUUAG
rnacentral:rRNA from 1 species